ensembl:lncRNA
AAUUGUUGAAUGUUUUAAUGCAUUUUGAAUCAUAAUGAAAAACAUUUUACAUCUAAAAACAAAUUAGCAGAAUAAUAAAAAGUGGUUCCACAUAACUUAUAAAUUUUUUUCCAAAAAUGUAGUUUUCACAGAUUUAGGCAACAAAUAAGAUGUUUCAUUCCAGAUCUUUCUGACUGUAUACACAAAACUUUGUGACAACUGACGUGCAUUGCUUGAAAGACAUAAAAGCUUGAUUUUGCCCAGUAAUGAGCUCUCUGUGAAAUUCUGCACAACACUGAAACUCUAACUGCAACUCUCCUCCAUUUUAUGAAAUGCUGGACAUUGUUCAGUGCUAAAGAACACUCUUUAGAACAUUCAAAGCCAUGAAAUGUUUUCCACAUAAUUUAGUCGGUGUAGUAUUACUCACCACCACUGCUCAUGUGUGAUUUGCUUCUAGGGGAAUGGCAGCCUUGGCUUCACCUUCGGUUCAGUAUAUAAAAUUAAGUGAUAGUUGAGUGUUCAGCUGAUUUAAAUAUUAGCCUGCUUCUAAGAGCGUGGCUCUAGCACCUUGUUUGGUUGAUUUUUGCAAAGUGAAAGCAUGUAAUAAUCCCAUUCCUGGUGCCAGAGGAUGGUCCCUCUGGUGAUAUAAAAAGUUUGCAGCAAUGAUGAUUGAACUGCAUAGAGUCUAGUGGUCCUGUAAUACAUAUGUGUUAGAGAAGCUUAAACAGACACUUUAGUUUAGCAGGAUCAAACCCAGUGACCUUCCCCCGUAAUAAAAGGAUAAUCAUUGCUCAAGACAUUUCAUGCAGGCCAUGCUGGAGAAACUGCUUCUGCUGGCUGGAGAGAUAUUUUUCUCUUUUUUUAAACAGCAUCAAUCUGUGUAAAGUCCUCUUUGUUACCAACUGAAAGUGAGUCUUUUCUUCUUCAAGCUAAAACCAUCAACCCAACAUCAAAUGGCUUUUCCCAACAGUUAAAAACCCAGGGGAAAAAAAUGAAGAAAAGGUGAAAAUAAACUUUGAUACCAUCCUUUAACCCUUGUUAUCAGAAGACUUAAAACUCUGCAGCUGCGUUCUCCAACCUCACUGGUUUGGUAUUUUAAGAUUACUUCAGUACAAUUCUGUAUAUAUCUUGUAUCUUAAAGAAAAAAAAUAAAAAAAAAGGGGGGGGGAACAAACAGAAAAAAACAAGGGACCAAGCUGCUAUCAUGACUCGUACUGCAGUGAUACUACAUACAUUCUCCACAAAAUACCUUGAGCUUCCUUGAGGUUACACUCCAAAACUAUGUCUAACACCCCAGUUUCCCUACGAUUCCUAAAUGAUGCAUUAAUCAUCCCAUCUCAUUGUACUCCAAUGCCACUACUUAUAGCUAAGAGUAGAACCAGUUAACUCAUCCGUCUUAUUGUCAUUACAAACAAUAACUGUAGAGGACAUGAGCACAGCUAUAGUUUCAUGAAAUCACAGCGAUGAGAUAAGAGUUCCUAAUACUUAAUUUAUGCCAACUCACCAUCAACUCCAUGAUUCCCCUGUAAGAGUGCACCCUUGACUUACCCAUGCCCUUCAUCUUAUACUGUGAUAUGUCAGACAGUCAGGGGCAGUAUCUCCCUUUAGCUAAAAAGAAGUGUCUGUAAGCAGCCUUUUUGUUCAUUCAAAGACAUCAGCUGCCACCUGCAUUUACUUCUAUAAUCAGCAGCUGCAGUGUAACAACCCACUGCCAGUGCAAAAAAAAGCUAAGCACAGUGAGGAGCAAAACCAGAGUAAGAUCAUUUGGGAGAAAGAAGGGAGACCUGUGUUAAUUACCCCCUCAUAGAACAGAACAGAGGUUGCAGCAGCCCUCACCAGCGCUGAGAACAGAAAGGUAACAGAUGAUGUUUACUUAUCGUAUUGCUCCAUUAGCUUUAAGUGUUAAUUAUCUUAAGGAUCACAUUUAGUAUGAUUGUCUUUCGUGUCAGAGAUAGUACUUCAGCCAGAGAUCAAAAGUGCUUUUUCUAGGCUACAGAGAGAUCCAACACAUCUUGACCAACAUUCACUUUUGAGGUAGUACUCAUUUACUUUGUAUUGCUGGCUCAAAACAAAAAUAUGGGAAGUGAACACAAUUAAAAGUAUGCUCACUGUAAGUAUAUAAACAAGGAAAAAAUAAAAAACAACUCCCAAAAAACCUAUUUCCUUUCUGGGCAGAUCACCAACAAGAAGCAAUCCUUCUUACAAAGGUCAGCUCACAUUCACUGGUAAAGUCAAACUUUCAUAAAUGGUUUAUAACAAUAGCUAUAAACUAAAGUGCUUCAAAAUUUGCUUGACAAGGAUUCAGUGAUUAGGAUUGUAAUAUUCUGGAUUUUUGCUAGUACAAAAUGCCACGAGAUUUUAGAAUCAUUUCAUAUAAGAAGGGCAGAAUGAAUAUUUUUCUUUUUCAAAAGAAAAACUACAAAAAGCAUUCCAAAUAAACCUGGCAGUCUAUACUCACGACAAGCUGCUUGCAUUUUCCUUCUCAAACCUAUUAUUUCUCCAGUAACAGCAAUAAAAAUGGAGUUGAAGUU